rnacentral:rRNA from 1 species
GGCCAGACUCCUACGGGAGGCAGCAGUGGGGAAUAUUGGGCAAUGGGCGCAAGCCUGACCCAGCAACGCCGCGUGAAGGAAGAAGGCUUUCGGGUUGUAAACUUCUUUUCUCAGGGACGAAGAAAGUGACAGUACCUGAGGAAUAAGCCACGGCUAACUACGUGCCAGCAGCCGCGGUAAUACGUAGGUGGCAAGCGUUGUCCGGAAUUACUGGGUGUAAAGGGAGCGCAGGCGGGAAGCCAAGUCAGCUGUGAAAACUACGGGCUUAACUUGUGGACUGCAGUUGAAACUGGUUUUCUUGAGUGAAGUAGAGGUUGGCGGAAUUCCGGGUGUAGCGGUGAAAUGCGUAGAUAUCAGGAGGAACACCGGCGGCGAAGGCGGCCUGCUGGACCGUGACUGACGUUGAGGCUCGAGAGCGUGGGGAGCAAACAGGAUUAGAUACCCCCGUA